rnacentral:rRNA from 1 species
CCUCGGGCGCAGCAGUAGGGAAUCUUCCACAAUGGACGAAAGUCUGAUGGAGCAACGCCGCGUGAGUGAAGAAGGGUUUCGGCUCGUAAAGCUCUGUUGGUCGUGAAGAAAGAUAGAGGUAGUAACUGGCCUUUAUUUGACGGUAAUUACUUAGAAAGUCACGGCUAACUACGUGCCAGCAGCCGCGGUAAUACGUAGGUGGCAAGCGUUGUCCGGAUUUAUUGGGCGUAAAGCGAGUGCAGGCGGUUCCAAAA